rnacentral:rRNA from 1 species
CGUAUAUUAAAGUUGUUGCAGUUAAAAAGCUCGUAGUUGGAUUUGUGGCUGUCGUGCGCUUUUCUUCUCAAUGAGUUGAUGUAGUGUCGCGUCGNCAUCCUUGGGUGGAUCCUGUGUGGCAUUAGGUUGUCGUGCAGGGGAUGCCCAUCGUUUACUGUGAAAAAAUUAGAGUGUUCAAAGCAGGCUUAUGCCGUUGAAUAUAUUAGCAUGGAAUAAUAAGAUAGGACCUUGGUACUAUUUUGUUGGUUUGCGCACCAAGGUAAUGAUUAAUAGGGUCAGUUGGGGG